AGUCGUACAAGGUUUCCGUAGGUGAACCCGCGGAAGGAUCAUUAAGAAUUAGGCUUCGCGGCCAAGUUCUCACCCUUUGUUACCGAAACCAUGUUGCUUUGGCAGGCCCCUGCAUUUUCUCGGGGCCUGCCAGAGGUUAUAAAGCCUAGAAUCUCUGCUGUCUGAGUACUAUACAAUAGUUAAAA
rnacentral:misc_RNA from 1 species